CAGUGUACAUUUUAAUCACUAAUUUAACUGACUGAUUGAAAACGAUCGACACUUUGCCUGCAGCAUGUUCGAUCAACGAUUACUACUGCAACUGAGAAAGAAAAAAGAUAAGGAAAAAAUUAUAAAGAAAAAGAAAUGUACUGCAAUUUAAAACUGCAACUUACAAUGAAGUUUCAGUUGGAGGGCACAAGCAGAAUGCACAAUCUCAAAUUAUUUCAUUGUUGAGUAACAUAGUGUUAUAAUAAACAUUAUAUUCUAUUGGAAGGCAACGAGAUUAUUUAUUUCCCAUAAAAAUUACCAUGUGGCUCGUUCGUGGCACUCAAACCUCGAACUCGACCAGAGUUCGAAACAGCAAGAUGGUAUCCGGUUCGACAGAACAAUUUGAUUACCAAACAAUUGUACACAGGAUUUUGUGCCGGUUUCCUGGGAUCCCAUAUUACGUAAGGCGGUCGUUUAACCGAUUCCGUGAUGUAAUGCGGAGUUCUGUAAAGGAGAAUACAAUAUUUAGAAUCUCCAAACACACACCGGCCGUCUAUAAACGUCAAUAAGCUUCGUGAAUGAAGCGUGCUUCGUUACACCGUAGACGUUUUCCAACCCCGUUAAUUUUAAACAGAUGCUCGAGGGGAAGGAACGCAAUACCAAUAGACUUUAUUCGACAAGCAGUGCAUCAACUGAUGAUAAUCAAGCUAAUGGUACCAAUAAUGAAACGUGAAAAAUACAAAGUGGAUCACGCAAUUAGGGAUAUAGGAUGUGAAAAAUGAGUUUGUGAAAAUUGUUAGUUUGAUUUGGAACGUAGGAGAAAAAAGUAAAGUGUAGAUCAUUAAAGAUCUGAAGUAUUUAAUUUAUCUUAAUUUAAUAUAAGUUUUGUAAUUUCUAGAUAAAUUGUGUGUUACGUUUAAACAAUAUAAAGAUUGAGAGAGGAUAAAAUAAAGAUGAGCAUGGGAUUAAACGUAAAAUAUAACGGAGAAUAGUACGGUUCAGAAUUAGCGGUAGUCUCGGUCUGUUAAAAGUUAAAACAACAGUUCGAAUGAAAAACAAGCGUGAAUAAUACGGAGAAAUUUACACCCACAAAAACCCAUUGAGAUCUUACGUGAUUCCAGAUGGUUAUAAACGUACUGUUAGUGUUCGACAAAUAUAAAGGUAUAAAUAUGGUUCCCAAUUCAUUUUAUGCUUCGUUGAACCAGCGAAACAGACCAUCGAUUGAUGGAAAAUAUAAAUAGGAAAAUUGUCGAAAUUGAUUAUAGUUUAUUGAAUUUUUUAUUUUUGCGGGAGUAUCGUGAAAAGCACUUCUGUUUGUAGUUUAAUGAAUAGAAAACUAACGGUGUUUCCGGUCUGGUAAUGUCCAAUUACGAGGAUAAAGAAAUAAUAGUUCGGAUUGUGUACCAUUCGAUAUGCUAUCACCAAUGUAACAUAAAUUAGUCAUAGUAUAAAAAUAAAUUAAAAACGUUGGUUAAUGUCAAGAUUUCUUUACUUGGAAUUUACGAAACUAACGAUUAUAAAAUGCUGGGAACGUUUCACUCGUUAAAUUCAAUUUCGAAAUUGUACGCGUUUUUCUACAUAAAAAAUUCACUUUCCAGUUUUGCAACACUCACUUUUCCUCGAGGUGAACCUGAAUCUGAUGAACAAAUUUUUUACGCAAAUCUUUUGUUACAAUUCAAACAAUUCGAAAAUGUUAGAUCUCAAUUCUACGUUUCUUGGUAGAAGAUAGAUACUAUAAUACAUUGACGACUGAUAUUCAUA
rnacentral:misc_RNA from 1 species